rnacentral:rRNA from 1 species
CCGGCGACCGGCGCACGGGUGAGUAACACGUAUGGAACCUGCCCGCAGCAGGGGGAUAAGCGGAAGAAAUUCCGUCUAAUACCGCGUAACAACGUCGGGAGGCAUCUCCCGAUGUUUAAAGAUUUAUCGGCUGCGGAUGGCCAUGCGGCGCAUUAGCUAGUCGGCGGGGUAACGGCCCACCGAGGCGACGAUGCGUAGGGGUUCUGAGAGGAAGGUCCCCCACACUGGUACUGAGACACGGCCAGACUCCUACGGAAGGCAGCAG